rnacentral:rRNA from 1 species
AGAGUUUGAUCCUGGCUCAGGACGAACGCUGGCGGCGUGCCUAACACAUGCAAGUCGAGCGGAGAUAUUAGUAAUAAUAUCUUAGCGGCGGACGGGUGAGUGCGGACGGGUGAGUAACGCGUGGGCAACCUGCCUCACACUGGGGGAUAACACAGGGAAACUUGUGCUAAUACCGCAUAACAUCAUGAAAGGACAUCCUUUUAUGAUCAAAGGAGCAAUCCGGUGAGAGAUGGGCCCGCGUCCAAUUAGCUAGUUGGUGGGGUAACGGCCCACCAAGGCGACGAUGGGUAGCCGACCUGAGAGGGUGAUCGGCCACACUGGAACUGAGACACGGUCCAGACUCCUACGGGAGGCAGCAGUGGGGAAUAUUGGGCAAUGGGCGAAAGCCUGACCCAGCAACGCCGCGUGAGGGAAGAAGGCUUUCGGAUUGUAAACCUCUGUCCUUGGGGACGAAAAAAAUGACGGUACCCAAGGAGGAAGCCCCGGCUAACUACGUGCCAGCAGCCGCGGUAAUACGUAGGGGGCAAGCGUUGUCCGGAAUUAUUGGGCGUAAAGCGCGUGUAGGCGGUUUGUUAAGUCUGGUGUGAAAGCCCUGGGCUCAACCUGGGAAGUGCAUUGGAUACUGGCAAACUUGAGUACGGGAGAGGAUAGUGGAAUUUCGAGUGUAGGGGUGAAAUCCGUAGAUAUUCGAAGGAACACCGGUGGCGAAGGCGGCUAUCUGGACCGAUACUGACGCUGAGACGCGAAAGCGUGGGGAGCAAACAGGAUUAGAUACCCUGGUAGUCCACGCCGUAAACGAUGAGUACUAGGUGUUGCGGGUCAAAGCCCGGUGUGCCGCAGCUAACGCAUUAAGCACUCCGCCUGGGGAGUACGGUCGCAAGACUGAAACUCAAAGGAAUUGACGGGGACCCGCACAAGCAGCGGAGCAUGUGGUUUAAUUCGAAGCAACGCGAAGAACCUUACCAAGGUUUGACAUCCCCUCUUGACAGAUGCAGAGAUGUGUCCUCCCCUUCGGGGGCAAGGGAGACAGGUGGUGCAUGGUUGUCGUCAGCUCGUGUCGUGAGAUGUUGGGUUAAGUCCCGCAACGAGCGCAACCCUUGUCAUUAGUUGCCAGCAGUUCGGCUGGGCACUCUAGUGAGACUGCCGGGGAUAACUCGGAGGAAGGUGGGGAUGACGUCAAAUCAUCAUGCCCCUUAUGUUUUGGGCUACACACGUGCUACAAUGGCUGGUACAGAGAGAGACGCAAGACGGUGACGUGGAGCAAAUCUCAAAAACCAGUCCCAGUUCGGAUCGUAGGCUGCAACUCGCCUACAUGAAGUUGGAGUUGCUAGUAAUCGCGAAUCAGAAUGUCGCGGUGAAUGCGUUCCCGGGUCUUGUACACACCGCCCGUCACACCAUGGAAGUUGGGGGGACCCGAAGCCAGUGAUCCAACCGUAAGGGAGAAGCUGUCGAAGGUAAAACCAAUGACUGGGGUGAAGUCGUAACA